GGAAUAUUGGACAAUGGGCGAAAGCCUGAUCCAGCAAUGCCGCGUGAGUGAUGAAGGCCCUAGGGUUGUAAAGCUCUUUUACCCGGGAUGAUAAUGACAGUACCGGGAGAAUAAGCCCCGGCUAACUCCGUGCCAGCAGCCGCGGUAAUACGGAGGGGGCUAGCGUUGUUCGGAAUUACUGGGCGUAAAGGGUUCGUAGGUGGCCUGCUAAGUCAGAUGUGAAAUCCCUCGGCUCAACUGAGGAACUGCAUCUGAGACUGGAAGGCUUGAGUGCAGGAGAGGAACGCGGAAUUCCAGGUGUAGCGGUGAAAUGCGUAGAUAUCUGGAGGAACACCGGUGGCGAAGGCGGCGUUCUGGACUGCAACUGACACUGAUGAACGAAAGCCAGGGGAGCAAA
rnacentral:rRNA from 1 species